ACUGAACGCUGGCGGCAUGCCUUACACAUGCAAGUCGAACGGUAACGCGGGGCAACCUGGCGACGAGUGGCGAACGGGUGAGUAAUGCAUCGGAACGUGCCCAGUUGUGGGGGAUAACUGCUCGAAAGAGCAGCUAAUACCGCAUACGACCUGAGGGUGAAAGCGGGGGAUCGCAAGACCUCGCGCAAUUGGAGCGGCCGACGUCGGAUUAGCUAGUUGGUGGGGUAAAGGCCCACCAAGGCAACGAUCCGUAGCUGGUCUGAGAGGACGACCAGCCACACUGGGACUGAGACACGGCCCAGACUCCUACGGGAGGCAGCAGUGGGGAAUUUUGGACAAUGGACGCAAGUCUGAUCCAGCCAUGCCGCGUGCGGGAAGAAGGCCUUCGGGUUGUAAACCGCUUUUGUCAGGGAAGAAAUCUUCUGGGUUAAUACCUCGGGAGGAUGACGGUACCUGAAGAAUAAGCACCGGCUAACUACGUGCCAGCCGCCGCAGUAACAC
rnacentral:rRNA from 1 species